GGACGAACGCUGGCGGCGUGCCUAACACAUGCAAGUCGAACGAGGUCCAAGGAAGCUUGCUUCCUGAAGACCUAGUGGCGAACGGUGAGUAACACGUGAGAAACCUGCCUCGGAGUGGGGAAUAACUCGGGGAAACUCGAGCUAAUACCGCAUACCUUCACAUGAUCGCAUGGUCGAGUGAAGAAAGAAUUUCGCUCUGAGAGGGUCUCGCGGCCUAUCAGCUUGUUGGUGGGGUAAACGGCCUACCAAGGCAACGACGGGUAGCUGGUUUGAGAGAACGAUCAGCCACACUGGGACUGAGACACGGCCCAGACUCCUACGGGAGGCAGCAGUGGGAAUCUUGCGCAAUGGGCGAAAGCCUGACGCAGCAACGCCGCGUGCGGGAUGACGGCCUUCGUGGUUGUAAACCGCUUUCAGCAGGGACGAAAAUGACGGUACCUGCAGAAGAAGCCCCGGCUAACUACGUG
rnacentral:rRNA from 1 species